ACUCUCCAGGCAGCUACUACCAAUCAAUUAAAGUUGGCAUGUGAGAGGAUAUCUGUUCAACAUCAUUGAACCAAGUAGACCCUACCAAUUGUAUCACCAGCCCCCAAGGAUAAAGUCUGACACACAGACAUCCAAGACUGUGGAAUAAAUGAGUGAAUUCUGAGGGAAGCAGACAAGUGGUUCUAUCUUCAUAGAGUUGUUACGGUUACUGGCAUUGAGUCAAGGAAAACCAGCCACAAAUGAUGAAACCAGGGAUUAGGGUCCAACUCAAA
rnacentral:lncRNA from 1 species